rnacentral:lncRNA from 10 species
UACAUGGGAGGAAUCAGUUCUGGUGGUUUAUUGCAAAACAUGGUGACUAUAGUUAAUGUACUAUGUAUUUCAAAACAUCUAAAAGAAAAGAUUUUAAGUGUUCUCACUACAAAGCAAUGAUAAAUAUUUGAGAUGCUGAACUUUUUAAUACUUACAUUCUUAAGUUUUUCAAGGCUUUUCUAAUAAGUCUGGCAUUCCUGCCCUUGGCAGUGUGAGAUGGAAGAUGAUGUCGCAAGGGUGGCCGAGAAGCAGCUGGGCUGAGCUGCUAAAAGCACAGAGACCGGGGCCAGACUCCUCAGCCUGAAAUCCUGCUUCCACUAAGUACCAGCUGGGUAACUUCAGGUCUUCUGUGCUCAGUUUCAGGCCCUGGAGGUCCAUGCUUCUGCCCAAGCUGUGUCUCAUCUCUGCAGGUGGAGCCCAGUUGACAGGAAAUGUUUCUCCAGAAGCUGAAAAGCUGCCUGGUAAAGGCCUUUCAUAAAAUGGUCUGCGUUUGGGACCAGGAAGACAGAAGACUCCUCAAGAAGAGAACUGGAACCUUAACCCACUUCAGACUUCUUCAUGUCUGAAGCUUAUUUCCACCAUCCCAUUGAGAACCAAAGAAGCGAGCUCCUUGGAGAAUCGGCUCCCACCUGGACCUUCUGUUUAUCCUUCCAAUAGCUGCUGCAUUCAUCCUUCCCAGCUAAUGACACUUCCAGCCUUUCGUGUUUCAAAGUAUCACGGACUUUGCAAAAGAUUCCAGGUUUCUAUGGAGCAGAUAGUACUUUUAACAAUCAACAUGUGCAUUAUUAUUUCCUCCUAAGGCAUACUUAGACAUCAAUGCAUGCUACAGCAAGGCAACUUAUCUCACCCUCACCAAGGUAUGAACUUCAGAAUUUGAACUUGUUCCUUUGGGGUAAGUUGUAUCACCAGCACUCACUAACAGACUGUAUUUUCCAGUGAGGUUUCAUUCUGUUUCAGAUAUUCUGCACUUUCAGUGGCAAAAUUUUAAAGAAAAGGAGACAAAAUGGAACACAAAUUCAAUAUGACUAUUGUCAUCCUUCCCUCCCAGGAAGUGUAGGAAUCAUCCAAAGUGGUAAAAGAGCAGCGCUUCUAAACUCUGACUUCACAUGGAAAAUAACGCGACUACUAAAACUGAUAACAAUAGCAGUCCAUGCCAUUUGACAGGGGUGUGUAGGAGAGGUGGUGAGCAAGCUGAAAUCCCUUCAGGUAUUUGCAGAACUUCUGAGCAAAAGCUAAAGCUAAAAUUAACAUUAAAUAUGCAAAGUAUUUUUAACCCAACAUAAAUUAACAAUGUUCCUAUUUCAAUUCUAUUGCUCUUGGGAUGACUAUGUCCUUUGGAAAAUGUUUAAAUAACUUAAGAUUUCCGUCAUGAGUUUACUAUUUCAAAACUUAUUUUUUUAACUGCAAGAUACCUUUUUAUGUUACCAGGAGUGUUACCAGCUAGCUGCCAAAACCUGGUUGAAGUUCUCCCACUUUAUAUUGUAAAUGAUUACAUAGUUUAUUAGUAAUUGUGUCCCCUGUCCACCCACUGGUCCAUUUGGAUGGGAAAAUUUUCAAAAUAACUUCAUAAGAAAAUGAUAAGAAAAAUGUGGUCACCGGUAUCAUGAGGAACUUCCAGACAGCUCAGCACAGAAAAGUUGGUUUUAAAGUCCUCGAAAACGUUACUGGUAAUGAGCUUCCACUCCUUUAGUCGUUGUGCAUAGAUACACCACAGAGUAAGGUUAUAAAAAUAAAAGUUGUUUCAGGAAAUUUCCCAUUGCUUUAUUACAUGAUCAAUGAGAGUAAAGAGAAAUGGAAGUUGACGGGAUAGGAAUGAGGGACCUGCUGGAAGAGUGAUCACAAUAUCCAAAGGAAAUUUAAAAUGCCUGUUGAAAGUGACACACUGACUCAGCAUUGUCACUAACACAGAAUCACCACAAUAAAACUGCCCUGCCCUGUGGCUCCUGGCACCUCAUGUCUCUUUAGGUUAAGCAGAGAGAGGUCUGUGUUGCUUUGGAACAAGGUGCAGCCUCCCCCUAAGCUACAGAGAGGCUCUGAGCAAGGACCAGCCCCCAGGGUGCAGCCUUGCCCACCCUCCACAGGCUCCAGAGCAGAUGGGGUGGCUCUAGAGAGCAAAUGGUCAAAACUUCUAGCGCUAAAUAGAGCUUUAACAUGUCUCAGAUACUAGCAAAAUAGAGAAGCCUCAGAUGGCUUUAGGUCUGGAAGUGUGUUGCUAAAAAUGCUAAAAAUUUAACAAACUUUUAUAAAUCCUUAAGAGAUCUUUUUCAGUUUUCUGAAGUACCGUUAAUUGCCCAUGUGUUUCAACUUGCAGACAGGCAAGAAUUUGGCUUUGUAUGUUUAAAAAUAUGUACAUCUUGGUUCAUAAUGAUGAUUUAUUUCCAAAAUGGUGACUCAUACUAGGAUUACAUAUAAAACAUCAUAUGUGGGCCUUAUAUGUAAUAAUGUGUAAGUAUAGUAUAUUAAUUACUCUGACAUAACAUGGGCAGAGAUUUGUAUUAAUUUAUUUCUAUUUCAUCUAAUCAAUAUUUUACUUAAGUCUAAAACCUUAUAUAUAUAUUGACAUGUAUCAUCGUAUAUAUAAACAUUGUAUCUAUUGAACUGAGCAAUCUGUAGUUUAUUUUAAAUUCUGAUACAUUAAAGAUGUGGAGAACUACAUGAAAUCAUAGGAAAUUUUUCAUUCAAAUAAAAAUUGCAAAGAGCCAUUCCUAAAUGGCAACCUGGUUUUAGCUGCAAAGACAGAAAGUGAUAAGAAGAGACCCCGAAAAUAUAAGUUAUGCAAAAUGUCAACUUAUACAUAGAUGGCUAAACUCAGGGUUCACUGUCUGGACUUAGCAGAGAACAUGUUUGCAGAAAAAGAAAAUGGAGGCCGGGUGCAGUGGCUAAUGCCUGUAAUCCCAGCACUUCGGGAGGCU